CAUGUCUGGAGAAGGGGGCCAGAGGACCGAAAGAGGGGAAGGGACCUUGGCACUAGAUAAGAGCUAGAGGCCGGGAGGCUCAAGGCUGGCUUUUGCACCCGCAAAAGUCUUGCACUCUCACACACGCAAGUCUUAGCCCUGCAGGAGCAAGCCGCUGCAGAGCCGAGGGCCUUCCUCGGCGGAGCCUCCGCCCUCUGGUGGCAGCGUGCAAAAGUUACAGCUGCUCGCAAGGCCCCGCCUCCCCGCGCAGGGGAUGAGGGGCUGCGCAGCCACUCACUUAUCCUGCAAGCAAGGGGCCCUCAGCGAGCUUUCAACUGAGACCUGAAACCUGCCCAAAGCAGAAGCCAGGCAUGGGUGAGCCAAGACUGGAACCUGGGACUCCGGAUACGCCACCCAACUGACUGCUUUCAACUACCUCUGAACGCGCUGCUGAUCCCAGAGGCCGUGCAGAGGCCAGGAUGCCCCGCUCCAGCCCUUCAAGAUCCCUAAAACCAUCAUUACUCCAUUAAUAAAAAAAAGGCUUAUAAAGGUGGCAUCAUCCCAUAUUUUUAAAUUUGUGGAAAAUGUAAUAAAGAAAAGUACCAAGCAGUUGAA